GCCCCUUCUAUGCAACCACCGUGCUUAGCCCCAACAACAUCCAGUAAUCUUUAAUUGUAUCCCGAAUAAGAUCUAUGACCUUUGUUGGCAUUCAAUUUAUGAAGUUGUUGUGUUGAGAUUUUUGUUCAAGCAAGGCAAAACCGAUGUGUGUUUCAGCACUUCACUCUUUCUUUCUUCACUUUUGCUGCUGAAAUUCAUUGUUUAUUCAAUUUUACUGCAUUUUCUUG
rnacentral:lncRNA from 1 species